rnacentral:misc_RNA from 1 species
UUUAGAAAGCACAAAAGCAUUGCAUUAUGUUAAUAAAUUAUUUUCUCAGGAAGAAAGAAAAGAAACAAAGAAAACGAAAAAAAGACUAAUCAGACACUCCUGUGUAGUGUACAAAGCCAAUGAUUUUGAAAUCCCACAAUUCAGAUUAUGGGAAAUUUUCGACCAACUGGAUACAAUUUGAAUCAGAUGGAAAAUUUCAUUUCGUUGCAUCCUGCACCAAGUAAAUGAGCACAAAUCUGAUAAGACAUGAUUACGCAGUCCCGUUUUCAGUAUUAGACUCGAAAGUCAAUCCAUGUUCAUAGGACUCUACUCACAAGUAUCCACAAUGCUGCUGAUCUUUACAAAGAAAAUUCUCUGAAAAAUGACUGGAACAUCAGAAAAUCUUAGCCUCAAUCAUCUUCACUGUCAUCUUGAUUUUUCGCUUGAUUAUUGUUUGGUUGAUUAGGCUUUUGAGCAUCAUACAUCUCAGCAACCUGAUUAGAUGUUGUGGCUUCCUCUGGAGACUUGUCCGUCCGGACUCUUACUAGUCGUGGGAAUCGCAGCGAAACACCCUUGUCUCUUUCCGCUUUGCCAAGUGCAGCACUAUAAACAGGGCUAAUAGUCAAGUCUGCAGCUUUCACCUCCCAUACCUCACUGGGCUCAAACCACACAUCUGGAUUAAUUUUAUCACCAUGCCUAUAGUAUGGCUGGAACCAACCAAAUAGAAAGUUAGAAUUGGCAAAGUAAUAAUAACUCCACCAUUACCAUGAAAAGAAUAACAGACCUUUGGUUUAGGAAUCACUUUAGAACGAAGCCCAUUAGAGAGAUCUUCAAGCACUUGCUCAGAAAAU